rnacentral:rRNA from 1 species
UUUGCGUCGAAGGUAUACCGGUAAGGAGUGCUGGAGCGAAUAGAAGUGAGCAUGCAGGCAUGAGUAGCGAUAAUUAAUGUGAGAAUCAUUAACGCCGUAAACCCAAGGUUUCCUACGCGAUGCUCGUCAUCGUAGGGUUAGUCGGGUCCUAAGUCGAGUCCGAAAGGGGUAGACGAUGGCAAAUUGGUUAAUAUUCCAAUACCAACAUUAGUGUGCGAUGGAAGGACGCUUAGGGCUAAGGGGGCUAGCGGAUGGAAGUGCUAGUCUAAGGUCGUAGGAGGUUAUACAGGCAAAUCCGUAUAACAAUACUCCGAGAACUGAAAGGCUUUUUGAAGUCUUCGGAUGGAUAGAAGAACCCCUGAUGCCGUCGAGCCAAGAAAAGUUUCUAAGUUUAGCUAAUGUUGCCCGUACCGUAAACCGACACAGGUGGGUGGGAUGAGUAUUCUAAGGCGCGUGGAAGAACUCUCUUUAAGGAACUCUGCAAAAUAGCACCGUAUCUUCGGUAUAAGGUGUGGUUAGCUUCGUACUAGGAUUUACUCCGAAAGCGAAGAAACUUACAACAAAGAGUCCCUCCCGACUGUUUACCAAAAACACAGCACUCUGCUAACUCGUAAGAGGAUGUAUAGGGUGUGACGCCUGCCCGGUGCUCGAAGGUUAAUUGAUGGGGUUAGCAUUAGCGAAGCUCUUGAUCGAAGCCCGAGUAAACGGCGGCCGUAACUAUAACGGUCCUAAGGUAGCGAAAUUCCUUGUCGGUUAAAUACCGACCUGCAUGAAUGGCGUAACGAGAUGGGAGCUGUCUCAAAGAGGGAUCCAGUGAAAUUGUAGUGGAGGUGAAAAUUCCUCCUACCCGCGGCAAGACGGAAAGACCCCGUGGACCUUUACUACAGCUUGACACUGCUACUUGGAUAAGAAUGUGCAGGAUAGGUGGGAGGCUUUGAGUAUAUGACGCCAGUUGUAUAUGAGCCAUUGUUGAGAUACCACUCUUUCUUAUUUGGGUAGCUAACCGGCUUGAGUUAUCCUCAAGUGGGACAAUGUCUGGUGGGUAGUUUGACUGGGGCGGUCGCCUCCCAAAUAAUAACGGAGGCUUACAAAGGUUGGCUCAGAACGGUUGGAAAUCGUUCGUAGAGUAUAAAGGUAUAAGCCAGCUUAACUGCAAGACAUACAAGUCAAGCAGAGACGAAAGUCGGUCUUAGUGAUCCGGUGGUUCUGUGUGGAAGGGCCAUCGCUCAAAGGAUAAAAGGUACCCCGGGGAUAACAGGCUGAUCUCCCCCAAGAGCUCACAUCGACGGGGAGGUUUGGCACCUCGAUGUCGGCUCAUCGCAUCCUGGGGCUGGAGCAGGUCCCAAGGGUAUGGCUGUUCGCCAUUUAAAGCGGUACGCGAGCUGGGUUCAGAACGUCGUGAGACAGUUCGGUCCCUAUCUGCCGUGGGCGUAAGAAGAUUGAAGAGAUUUGACCCUAGUACGAGAGGACCGGGUUGAACAAACCACUGGUGUAGCUGUUGUUCUGCCAAGAGCAUCGCAGCGUAGCUAAGUUUGGAAAGGAUAAACGCUGAAAGCAUCUAAGCGUGAAGCCAACUCUAAGAUGAAUCUUCUCUAAGCUCUCUAGAAGACUACUAGUUUGAUAGGCUGGGUGUGUAAUGGAUGAAAGUCCUUUAGCUGACCAGUACUAAUAGAGCGUUUGGCUUAUCUUUAAUAAAGCAU